UAUAGCCACUCGCGUGUACGUCGUUACAUCGUCACUAAGCGCGCGUAUUUUCAUCUCGACAACGCUUAAGGGCAGCCACCCUGAAUCUGAAGACGUCGCCGUGGAGCAACUAUCCUGCGUCUUGACCUUUCAUUUGAUCUUCGACUUGAAAUGGAGCGAAAGACGAUAUUUUUCCAUUAUUAAAAGAUUAGCUAUGGCUUAUAUUAUGGAUUGAUCGCCAGAAGAAGUUUCCAAAAAAAUAUUAGGUCUUACAAAAGACGGACUUGCUGCUAAUGCUUUUUUAGCAUUUCAUAAAAGGUAAAAUGGAUCGUUUAAAUUGUUAUAAGUGUCACCGUAAUGUCUGCAAUGGAUUGAAUGGUUUAACGCGGCAUUUACAAGAUUAUCACGGACUUACAAUUUAUCGACGAAUAGAGAACGGUUUUGAAUGUAAUCAAGAUGGAUGUCGUCGAAAAUUGUUGCUUACGCCACACAAUACAGACCAGAUAUUAUAAAAAAAAGACUGAAAAGACCUCCCUCUUAAUGAUGGUGAGUGUUUUAGAAUAAUAAAAAUUGUUUCUACUUACUGUUAAAUGUUGUAUACAAAAUUUGUAUAUAAAAUUUGUAAUUAAAAUUCAUAUCAAAAAUUAUUAUUGAGCACUAAGAUCCGCUUUCCACCGGUGUUGAUACACUUCCUGAUCAUAAUAGGUUAUUGUUAUAAUAAAACGUGAAAAUUUUUAAA
rnacentral:lncRNA from 13 species